rnacentral:rRNA from 1 species
UCGUUCGCUGUUAGCAAUUAUACCGUGAAACUGCGAAUGGCUCAUUAAAUCAGUUAUCGUUUAUUUGAUAAUACCUUACUACUUGGAUAACCGUGGUAAUUCUAGAGCUAAUACAUGCUGAAAAUCCCGACUUCGGAAGGGAUGUGUUUAUUAGAUAAAAAACCAAUGCCCUUCGGGGCUUUUUGGUGAUUCAUGAUAACUUUACGGAUCGCAUAGCCUUGCGCUGGCGACGGUUCAUUCAAAUUUCUGCCCUAUCAACUUUCGAUGGUAAGGUAUUGGCUUACCAUGGUUUCAACGGGUAACGGGGAAUUAGGGUUCGAUUCCGGAGAGGGAGCCUGAGAAACGGCUACCACAUCCAAGGAAGGCAGCAGGCGCGCAAAUUACCCAAUCCCGACACGGGGAGGUAGUGACAAUAAAUACUGAUACAGGGCUCUUUUGGGUCUUGUAAUUGGAAUGAGUACAAUUUAAACCUCUUAACGAGGAACAAUUGGAGGGCAAGUCUGGUGCCAGCAGCCGCGGUAAUUCCAGCUCCAAUAGCGUAUAUUAAAGUUGUUGCAGUUAAAAAGCUCGUAGUUGAAACUUGGGCCUGGCUGGCGGGUCCGCCUCACCGCGUGCACUCGUCCGGCCGGGCCUUCCUUCUGAAGAACCUCAUGCCCUUCACUGGGCGUGCUGGGGAAUCAGGACUUUUACUUUGAAAUAUUUAUAGUGUUC